rnacentral:rRNA from 1 species
AACAGAGAGGGCAAGCGUUUAUCCAUCUUAACUGGGCGUAAAGCGCACGUAGGCGGCUUCUUAAGUCAGGGGUGAAAUCCUGGAGCUCAACUCCAGAACUGCCUUUGAUACUGAGAAGCUUGAGUCCGGGAGAGGUGAGUGGAACUGCGAGUGUAGAGGUGAAAUUCGUAGAUAUUCGCAAGAACACCAGUGGCGAAGGCGGCUCACUGGCCCGGUACUGACGCUGAGGUGCGAAAGCGUGGGGAGCAAACAGGG